AUUGAACGCUGGCGGCAGGCCUAACACAUGCAAGUCGAGCGGAUGCAGGGAGCUUGCUCCUGGAUUCAUCGGCGGACGGGUGAGUAAUGCCUAGGAAUCUGCCUGGUAGUGGGGGAUAACGUCCGGAAACGGGUGCUAUUACCGCAUACGUCCUGAGGGAGAAAGAGGGGGAUCUUCGGACCUCACGCUAUCAGAUGAGCCUAGGUCGGAUUAGCUAGUUGGUGGGGUAAAGGCCGACCAAGGCGACGUUCCGUAACUGGUCUGAGAGGAUGAUCAGUCACAAUGGAACUGAGACACGGUCCAGACGCCUACGGGAGGCAGCAGUGGGGAAUAUUGGACAAUGGGCGAAAGACUGAUCCAGCCAUGCCGCGUGUGUGAAGAAGGUCUGCGGAUUGUAAAGCACUUUAAGUUGGGAGGAAGGGCAGUAAGUUAAGACCUGGCUGUUUUGACGUUACCAACAGAAUAAGCACCGGCUAACUUCGUG
rnacentral:rRNA from 1 species